rnacentral:lncRNA from 1 species
UUAUGGUAUUUGGAAUCCACUGGCUUUUUGUAUCCAAUUUUAAUGUUGAUCUAAUAAGCAUAUUAUGACAUGAUCAUGAUGACACCAUGCAUGAACAAUGCUUUAUGGUGCUACCUAUUUUUAUAUCACAAUGAUAUCAUAUUGGUGAAGAUAUUUUCAUUACUAUAUGAAAAUGCUUACCCCUGCUUCAAUCUUGACCAAAAAUAUUCUAUGUUACCUAUGGAGUCACAGGAAGUCUUCAAAUGCAGUUUGCCAAAAGAUCCAAAAAUCCAAUUGUUUCAUCUUUCCCAAAAGAUCAAACAUUGUGAGAGUAUUUGUAGGACAG